rnacentral:misc_RNA from 1 species
UUUCCGUAGGUGAACCUGCGGAAGGAUCAUUAUCAUGUAAUUCAGUCCCCUUGGCUGUGUUAUAUAUAUACCCACUCUGUGUACCUUCUCCUGUUGCUUCCGCUGGGUGUGUAAUUCGCCCGGCGGAAGGGUAAAAAUAACCUCUGAGUAUUGAUGAAAUCUCUGUCUGAACCAAAUAGAAAGAAAAAUGUUAAAACUUUCAGCAACGGAUCUCUUGGUUCUC